AUUUUCUUCACUGCGUUGCAAACUUCUGACUGAAAUCAUUAAACCCUCUGCAAGGGUAUAAUGACUGUAAGAAACAAGUGAUAUCCGGAGUCACUUCGAAAAAUAUUCAUUAGAACUUUUUUCUUAAUAAGUGAACUCACGCAGUUUGUUCACCUAUUUACUUGCUCACAUGUCCACUCGCUCAAAGUGAUUUGUUACGAACUGCAUAUUUUUCGGUGGCAGUUCUCCUAGAUCAGCCUUUUCCCAGGGCAGAGAACCCCUUAUGCCACAGCUCGAACAUAAAAUAUCAACAACUCCGCUGUCUAAUAUCAUUAUCGGUCAUCACUAAGAACAAAAACCGAAGCGCUCCCACCCAUCCACAGAUGCCCUUAAGAUGCUGCCGGGCACCACACAUUCUUGGUCGGCCGGAGCCCCUCCUCGCGACUACGACUGUUCCAUCUUCCCCACUGGAACCACUUGCUCACACAUUAUGGAUUUUACAAAUAUUUGAUAAAUAUGACACGAUUUAAUUUCAGCAAUUGGUGGGGAGGGCAACAAGCCUAUCAAAAUGAUAAAGUGCUUUGUAGAGGUGGAGAAACAUCGAUGCCAACAUCGAUGUCAUCGAUGUUUUCGUAACAUCGGUAACAUCGAUGUUUUACCAGGCAACAUCGAUGUUUUCCCAUCUCUAACGCGCAUCAAGAACGCAAGACGUGAAAAUUGAACAUUAAAAUCAGGUGAGAAGCGGGAAGCUUCUGUUGCCUUGGUUCACUUUAAAAAAGGCGUUGGAAAGGCACACGGAGUUUGCAUAUACUGUGGCAAAACUAUAAAAACGAACGGAAAUACUACGAACCUUUUCGACCAUCUAAAGCCUUAAAGUUGGAAAAGGCCAAAAUGACAAUACAACUGCUUUGGAUGUGUUCGUGGGAAGGUAACGAUUUUGCCACGAAACGGAAACUCGACGAAAUGGUGAUAAACAUGAUAGCUGUAGACUUUCAACCAUUCAGCUGUGUUGAGAAUGAAGGUCUCAUUAAUCUUUUAAGAGAAUUGGACUCCACCGUUUACGCCAGACGAAGUGGAUGUCUUAAAUGACUUGUGCGAACUUCUGUCUCCGUUUCAUGAUGCCACCCUAUCAGUUUCAACCAACACAAGCGUAUCAGUUUCUAUUAUCAUACCAGUUAUUUGCGAGCUGUUCCAUAAAAUUUCUGGUCUGGAUGGUAAACUGAAAACAACGGAAGGAGCUGUUAUUUUGGGCUUUAUAAGAACUUGCUUACGUGAGAGAUUCUUGCCAUAUGAGGGUCGAACAAUUCCACGUAUAGCUACCAUUCUUGUCCUUCGUUUUAAAAAACACGGUUUUCUUAGCCAAACCAACUCCGAAGAAGCGGCCAAAGCAUUGCAGGAAGAGCUAAACUCCACCCUUGUGUCCAUUCCUCGAGAGCAGCCAGCACCACCAACAGAAGAACCUACACGAUUUUCCUUUAUGAAAUCAAAAUUGGAUGCAAAAGUACAAUCAUUCCGGGCCGAUGGAAUUGUCCUGAUGCGUCAACAUAUGGAAAAGGAAAACCAGCCUGAAAAGUGCGAUCCACUUGCAUAUUGGGAAGUAAAAUAUGUCUACCGAAGAAACUUUCAAAAAGUUAUCCACAAAGUUUUUUUGUGUUCCCGCUUCAUCGUGCGAAUAAGAACGAGUGUAUUGUAGAGCUGGACAACUUAUAUCCGACCGUCGCACUAGACUUUCAUCUUUCGUUGUUGACAAACUUUUGUUUUUAAACAAAAACCAACAUCUAAAUAAAAUUUAAACAUCGAUGAAACAUCGAUGUUUUGCGCCAAAAACAUCGAUGUCCGCGAACAUCGAUGUUUCUCCACCUCUAGUGCUUCGCUCACCAUUCCAUUGGAUAAACGUAUUGCUGUUGGUAUCUAUUCGUUUGCUCAUUGGAAUACCUAAGGACUGGGAGAAAAUUUGACUAGUCAAAAAUGAUAUGCAUAAUUAUAAGCGAAUGAUAUAUCGAAGUCUGUUCUUUUUAUGGCUCCGAAUUUCUUUUCUCAAAACAUUCUGACAAAAUUUGUGGUAUCCCAUGACCAAGUAAUUUUCCCUUUUCCUGUGAAGAGAAUUAUUCAAUAAAAAUUGGUAAAUUAGGGAAAAAAUAAAAUUACCUGCUCUUAACUCUAUUA